GAUCCCAGAAAGGGCUGCACCAGGCAACCAGCUAUCGAACCACCAAAGAAUAACAAAAGAUGUCUCUGCAACCAGCAGUUUACAUGGUGCCUUGUGGGCCUCCUGUUUCCCGCUACUGGCAGGCAAAAGGCGCGAGCUGCUGAGGGAGGACAUUUCCAUAAG